rnacentral:lncRNA from 1 species
AAGGGAAAAUAGUCUUCCUCUUGUCCCUACCCUCCUGUAACUCUGUAAGAAGAAGCUCUUAUAUUUAAUCUUACCUCAUCUGUGAUGUCUAAUUAAUGGGGUGAGCACAAAAAUGGGACUCUGUUG